rnacentral:rRNA from 1 species
UACGUAGGGUGCGAGCGUUGUCCGGAAUUAUUGGGCGUAAAGGGCUCGUAGGCGGUUUGUCGCGUCGGGAGUGAAAACCAGGUGCUUAACACCUGGCUUGCUUUCGAUACGGGCAGACUAGAGUGCGGUAGGGGAGACUGGAAUUCCUGGUGUAGCGGUGAAAUGCGCAGAUAUCAGGAGGAACACCAGCGGCGGAAGGCGGUGCUCUGGGCCGGAACUGACACUGAGGAGCGAAAGCGUGGGUAGCAAACAGG